UACGGAGGGGGCUAGCGUUGUUCGGAAUUACUGGGCGUAAAGCGCACGUAGGCGGCUUUGCAAGUCAGAGGUGAAAGCCCGGGGCUCAACCCCGGAACUGCCCUUGAAACUGCAGUGCUAGAAUUCUGGAGAGGCGAGUGGAAUUCCGAGUGUAGAGGUGAAAUUCGUAGAUAUUCGGAAGAACACCAGUGGCGAAGGCGACUCGCUGGACAGACAUUGACGCUGAGGUGCGAAAGCGUGGGGAGCAAACAGG
rnacentral:rRNA from 1 species